ensembl:snoRNA
CAAAAAUAAUCUGAGCAUUAUGACGGGUGCCACAAAAUAUAAAUAUAUACUGACACAAUUUGAGCUUGCUAUAGCAAGAAAGUCUAACCUAUUCCGGAGUUCUCUCUUUGUGGGAUAAGCCGUUAUAUAGACUUUAACAGU